rnacentral:rRNA from 1 species
GUGGAUUAGAUACCCGGGUAGUCCACGCCCUAAACGAUGAACACUAGGUGUAGGGGGCAAAGCCUUCUGUGCCGCAGCUAACGCAAUAAGUGUUCCACCUGGGGAGUACGGCCGCAAGGUUGAAACUCAAAGGAAUUGACGGGAGCCCGCACAAGCAGUGGAGUAUGUGGUUUAAUUCGACGCAACGCGAAAAACCUUACCAAGGAUUGACAUCCUAGGAACCCGGCGUAAUGGCUGGGGUGCCCCUUCGGGGGAAUCUAGAGACAGGUGGUGCACGGUCGUCGACAGCU